UACAGAGGGGGCAAGCGUUGUUCGGAAUUACUGGGCGUAAAGGGCGCGUAGGCGGCCUGUUAAGUCGAACGUGAAAUCCCUGGGCUCAACCCAGGAACUGCGUCCGAUACUGGCAGGCUUGAAUUCGGGAGAGGGAUGCGGAAUUCCGGGUGUAGCGGUGGAAUGCGUAGAGAUUGGGAGGAACACCAGUGGCGAAAGCGACUUUCUGGGCCGUUCCUGACGCUGAGGUUCGAAAGCCAGGGGAGCAAACGGG
rnacentral:rRNA from 1 species